rnacentral:rRNA from 1 species
AUGACGACGCUGAAUAAAUAUUCUUCGGAUCCUUCCCUGACAAGGCCAUCGGUCCUACGGUUGGGGAUGGAUUUGGAAAACCAGUCUGUUCAAGCAAGGAUGGCGUGGCGGCGGCGGCAUCCUCGUGGUGGACCUAUGUCCUCGGGCUCCGCCGUUGCGACGGCGUUUGCUCCAGCGUUAGCGCGGAGCUUGGGUGGUAGUCCAGGAGCGGAUGCAGAUUGUGGUCUGCAUCGACGACAUCUGGAAGACGAAACAUCUGCUGGGCUCGUGGUUCGUGGAUGGCAGGUAUGGUUUCCUCCUUCGGCGUCUUAG